rnacentral:snRNA from 1 species
AUGCUCACUUUGGAAGCACAUACACUACAACGGGAGCCAUACAGAGAAGAUUAGCAUGGCCCCUACGUAUGGAUGACAUGAAAAUUCAUGAAGUGUUCAUAUUUUUU